rnacentral:tRNA from 1 species
GCGGAUGUGGCGGAAUUGGCAGACGCGCCAGCCUUAGGAGCUGGUGGCCGUAAGGCCGUGGAGGUUCAAGCCCUCUCAUCCGCACCA